AAUUACUAACUUCGAAUAUGAAAUAGUUGAUCGAUAACCGGAAUAUACUCAAAAAAAAAGGUGUGCUCCGGACAAAAAUCAACUAACAAAA
rnacentral:snoRNA from 1 species